rnacentral:lncRNA from 1 species
UUGGCCUCGUACAACUUUGUCAGCGUAUCCCAUAUCUCUUUGGCCGCCUUUUUCUCUGCCACACUUGACAAUACUCCAUCGGCUAGUGCAAGGUGCAGAUUGGCAACUGCGUUGCUAUCCAUCUCGUUCCACUUAGUAUCGUCAAUGAUCUCCCUUUGUCCAAUUUUCGCCAAGCAGUUAUCUUUCCGCAAAACUGCUUUUAUUCUCAUUUCCUAUAAUGAGAAAUUGUUCCCAUUGAACUUUUCAAUCUCACACUUUGUAGCCAUUUUGUUCACCAAUACUGUGACUGAACAACCCUACACAGAACCUUGCUAUGAUACCACUGUUGGGGAGAAAACGCGUGGGUUGACUUUGGCUGACAAUGAUAAUGAAAUUGAGAAAUCGCAGCUAAAAUGGACACAAAUAUUUACGUGGUUCACCCAAUUUAGGCUACGUCUACGGGCAAGUAUGGGAGGAUUCACUAUAGUAGGAGAAUUACAAA